GACGAACGCUGGCGGCAUGCCUAACACAUGCAAGUCGAACGGAGAUUAUUUCGGUAAUCUUAGUGGCGAACGGGUGAGUACCGCGUGGGCAACCUGCCCUCUAGAUGGGGACAACAUCCCGAAAGGGGUGCUAAUACCGAAUGUGACAGCAAUCUCGCAUGAGGAUGCUGUGAAAGAUGGCCUCUAUUUAUAAGCUAUCGCUAGAGGAUGGGCCUGCGUCUGAUUAGCUAGUUGGUGGGGUAACGGCCUACCAAGGCGAUGAUCAGUAGCCGGUCUGAGAGGAUGAACGGCCACAUUGGGACUGAGACACGGCCCAGACUCCUACGGGAGGCAGCAGUGGGGAAUCCUCCGCAAUGGGCGAAAGCCUGACGGAGCAAUGCCGCGUGAGUGAUGAAGGAAUUCGUUCCGUAAAGCUCUUUUGUUUAUGACGAAUGUGCAGAUUGUGAACAAUGAUCUGUAAUGACGGUAGUAAACGAAUAAGCCACGGCUAACUACGUG
rnacentral:rRNA from 1 species